rnacentral:tRNA from 1 species
GGAGGUUCCGUGGCUCAGUGGCAGAGUAUCUGCUUAGCUUAGAGUGCAGAAGGAUCCUGGUUCGAUUCCUGGCAUCUCCA